rnacentral:lncRNA from 1 species
GUUUCCACCUGCGGGAAACAGAGGUGCUGCAGCCCUAGCUGCAGUUGCUGCCUCUUUCUCUCUCCUCUCCAUCUUCCCUCUAUUCUUCUUCUUCUUUUCUUCUCUUCUCUUCUCCCUCUUCUUCCUCCUCUCUUCUUUUCCCUCUUCUUCUUCUUUUCUUCUCAAUCCCUCAACUUCUCUUCUUCUUCUCCCCACGCCCCACCGCUCAUUUCUCUGUUUCUCGAAGAAACAGAGAGAGCGUGGGAGGCGGUGGGAUAAAACCGAAAUUUUUGAUUUUCUUUAUUUUUUUUCUUUUUGCAACUUAAUAGUUUAGUCCUUGAAAUUUCUAUAUUUACAUAUAGGUUCUCCAAUUUACAUAUAAAUCCUUAUUAAUAAUUUUCAAAAGUGAGGGAUAUUAAACUCUCCCCCCCCUUAAAAGAAAAUUUAGUCCUCUAAAUUGAUCAUAACUCAAUCGAUGAAAAGAUGAGGAUUAUGAUUUCUUUAUUUCCUCCUCCUGCUCUCAAAUAAUUUCAUCAAUACAAUUAUACAAUUAUCCAAGAGUGAUCGAAAUAUUCUCCUCCUUGAUCCUCAAUAGAUGGUAACCCGACCUUCAAUCAAUCUUUGAAAAUACCUGUGCACCCUGCAGUUAAUCAAACAAGUCGUCACUUUAGAGAAUACUCAUUUUUUUAUGGUCACCUAAUUCAAUUGUCUAUAAUCAAUACAAAGCCUCA